rnacentral:rRNA from 1 species
AGUGAACGCUGGCGGUAGGCCUAACACAUGCAAGUCGAACGGCAGCACAGUAAGAGCUUGCUCUUACGGGUGGCGAGUGGCGGACGGGUGAGGAAUACAUCGGAAUCUACUUUUUCGUGGGGGAUAACGUAGGGAAACUUACGCUAAUACCGCAUACGACCUACGGGUGAAAGCAGGGGAUCUUCGGACCUUGCGCGAUUGAAUGAGCCGAUGUCGGAUUAGCUAGUUGGCGGGGUAAAGGCCCACCAAGGCGACGAUCCGUAGCUGGUCUGAGAGGAUGAUCGGCGACACUGGAGCUGAGACACGGUCCAGACUCCUACGGGAGGCAGCAGUGGGGAAUAUUGGACAAUGGGCGCGAGCCUGGUCCAGCCAUACCGCGUGGGUGAAGAAGGCCUUCGGGUUGUAAAGCCCUUUUGUUGGGAAAGAAAAGCAGCAGGUUAAUACCCCGCUGUUCUGACGGUACCCAAAGAAUAAGCACCGGCUAACUUCGUG